UAAAAAGUGGUGUAUUGUGCACAUGAGAUUUUGAGUCUUUUAGAAAUAGUUUAAUGCUAUUCUUUUUAA
rnacentral:tRNA from 1 species